rnacentral:rRNA from 1 species
AUUGAACGCUGGCGGCAGGCUUAACACAUGCAAGUCGAGCGGAGAGAGGUAGCUUGCUACUGAUCUUAGCGGCGGACGGGUGAGUAAUGCUUAGGAAUCUGCCUAUUAGUGGGGGACAACAUUUCGAAAGGAAUGCUAAUACCGCAUACGUCCUACGGGAGAAAGCAGGGGAUCUUCGGACCUUGCGCUAAUAGAUGAGCCUAAGUCGGAUUAGCUAGUUGGUGGGGUAAAGGCCUACCAAGGCGACGAUCUGUAGCGGGUCUGAGAGGAUGAUCCGCCACACUGGGGCUGAGCCACGGCCCAGACUCCUACGGGAGGCAGCAGUGGGGAAUAUUGGACAAUGGGCGGAAGCCUGAUCCAGCCAUGCCGCGUGUGUGAAGAAGGCCUUAUGGUUGUAAAGCACUUUAAGCGAGGAGGAGGCUACUUUAGUUAAUACCUAGAGAUAGUGGACGUUACUCGCAGAAUAAGCACCGGCUAACUCUGUGCCAGCAGCCGCAGUAAAAC